rnacentral:tRNA from 1 species
GUAGCUCAGCCUGGUAGAGCGGUGGAACAUGCAUCUUCCCAAACCUUGUCGCGAUUCCCCUUUCCCAUCAAUUCCCCGCGAAUGCUGGAAGGAUUACACUGGUCGCCGGUUCGAGUCCGGCCCGGAUCACCA